rnacentral:misc_RNA from 1 species
GAAAUGCGAUAAGUAAUGUGAAUUGCAGAAUUCAGUGAAUCAUCGAAUCUUUGAACGCACAUUGCGCCCGCCAGUAUUCUGGCGGGCAUGCCUGAUCGAGCGUCAUUUCAACCAUCAAGCCCCCGGCUUGUGUUGGGGACCUGCGGCUGCCCGCAGGCCCUGAAAACCAGUGGCGGGCUCGCUGUCACACCGAGCGUAGUAGCAUACAUCUCGCUCAGGGCGUGCUGCGGGUUCCGGCCGUUAAAAGCCUUUUUUACCCAAGGUUGACCUCGGAUCAGGUAGGAAGACCCGCUGAACUUAAGC